GAUGAACGCUGGCGGCGUGCCUAAUACAUGCAAGUCGAGCGAACAGACGAGGAGCUUACUCCUCUGACGUUAGCGGCGGACGGGUGAGUAACACGUGGAUAACCUACCUAUAAGACUGGGAUAACUUCGGGAAACCGGAGCUAAUACCGGAUAACAUGUUGAACCGCAUGGUUCAACAGUGAAAGACGGUCUUGCUGUCACUUAUAGAUGGAUCCGCGUCGCAUUAGCUAGUUGGUAAGGUAACGGCUUACCAAGGCAACGAUGCGUAGCCGACCUGAGAGGGUGAUCGGCCACACUGGAACUGAGACACGGUCCAGACUCCUACGGGAGGCAGCAGUAGGGAAUCUUCCGCAAUGGGCGAAAGCCUGACGGAGCAACGCCGCGUGAGUGAAGAAGGUCUUCGGAUCGUAAAACUCUGUUAUUAGGGAAGAACAAAUGUGUAAGUAACUAUGCACGUCUUGACGGUACCUAAUCAGAAAGCCACGGCUAACUACGUGCCAGCAGCCGCGGUAAUACGUAGGUGGCAAGCGUUAUCCGGAAUUAUUGGGCGUAAAGCGCGCGUAGGCGGUUUUUUAAGUCUGAUGUGAAAGCCCACGGCUCAACCGUGGAGGGUCAUUGGAAACUGGAAAACUUGAGUGCAGAAGAGGAAAGUGGAAUUCCAUGUGUAGCGGUGAAAUGCGCAGAGAUAUGGAGGAACACCAGUGGCAAAGGCGACUUUCUGGUCUGUAACUGACGCUGAUGUGCGAAAGCGUGGGGAUCAAACAGGAUUAGAUACCCUGGUAGUCCACGCCGUAAACGAUGAGUGCUAAGUGUUAGGGGGUUUCCGCCCCUUAGUGCUGCAGCUAACGCAUUAAGCACUCCGCCUGGGGAGUACGACCGCAAGGUUGAAACUCAAAGGAAUUGACGGGGACCCGCACAAGCGGUGGAGCAUGUGGUUUAAUUCGAAGCAACGCGAAGAACCUUACCAAAUCUUGACAUCCUCUGACCCCUCUAGAGAUAGAGUUUUCCCCUUCGGGGGACAGAGUGACAGGUGGUGCAUGGUUGUCGUCAGCUCGUGUCGUGAGAUGUUGGGUUAAGUCCCGCGACGAGCGCAACCCUUAAGCUUAGUUGCCAUCAUUAAGUUGGGCACUCUAAGUUGACUGCCGGUGACAAACCGGAGGAAGGUGGGGAUGACGUCAAAUCAUCAUGCCCCUUAUGAUUUGGGCUACACACGUGCUACAAUGGACAAUACAAAGGGUAGCGAAACCGCGAGGUCAAGCAAAUCCCAUAAAGUUGUUCUCAGUUCGGAUUGUAGUCUGCAACUCGACUACAUGAAGCUGGAAUCGCUAGUAAUCGUAGAUCAGCAUGCUACGGUGAAUACGUUCCCGGGUCU
rnacentral:rRNA from 1 species